AGUGAACGCUGGCGGUAGGCUUAACACAUGCAAGUCGAACGGCAGCACAGUAAGAGCUUGCUCUUACGGGUGGCGAGUGGCGGACUGGUGAGGAAUACAUCGGAAUCUACUUUUUCGUGGGGGAUAACGUAGGGAAACUUACGCUAAUACCGCAUACGACCUACGGGUGAAAGCAGGGGAUCUUCGGACCUUGCGCGAUUGAAUGAGCCGAUGUCGGAUUAGCUAGUUGGCGGGGUAAAGGCCCACCAAGGAGACGAUCCGUAGCUGGUCUGAGAGGAUGAUCAGCCACACUGGAACUGAGACACGGCCCAGACUCCUACGGGAGGCAGCAGUGGGGAAUAUUGGACAAUGGGCGCAAGCCUGAUCCAGCCAUGCCGCGUGGGUGAAGAAGGCCUUCGGGUUGUAAAGCGCUUUUGUUGGGAAAGAAAAGCAGCUGGUUAAUACCCCGCUGUUAUGACGGUACCCAAAGAAUAAGCACCGGCUAACUUCGUG
rnacentral:rRNA from 1 species